ACAAGAUCGGAAUGGGGGAGUCUUAGUUGAAAGAAAGAGAAGAGAAAAUGCAGAAAGAGGAAAUGUGAAGUCUUUGAAAGGUAAACUUCAAGGUGGACAUACAGAAAAAGAACAAGAAAGACAUAAUGGAAGAUACAUGCAGAGAUUAACUGCACCAAAAGAUCCAAUUCCACAAUGCUGGAAAUUUUUUUUUCACGGCACAGCUGAGCAGAACUUGAGUGAAGAGUUGACCUUGCCAUUUGUGGUGAGGUCAGUGAUCUCUGAUUAUUUACAUUCACUCCUUGAACAGGUAGAAGAAGAUACGGGCCAGAAGCCUUACCUCUUCAAAACAAAUAGUUCACACGUUUUCUUCCUUUUUUUUCUGUUUCAGACUGUGGAAGCAUCAGACAUUGAGGGAUCCCUCAAUCGAUGGCUGAUCUAGAGGCUGAGGUUGUUCCUGGCACCAUUCGCGAUCCCGGUCUGAGGUCAAGUCCAGCGACUUAGAACGAAACUUUCUCUCUUCUACGGUGUAACAAACAGCCAGGCACAAAAAGCAACUACAGAAAAACAUGUUGAUUGUGCUGGCUUCAACAGGAACGCUCACAGGACUCAUUCAAGGUCAUGCUGCUGUCGAAUAUCAUCAACAAGUUUAGCCCUUCAGCCCAUUCUAUGCAAUGGCAAAAGAACUGAAGGGAGGCCAAUCUGAAGUGAAACCCUGAAGCACAAGCCUCCUGGGAUAGGUCUCAGCUGGGCCUGAACCAAGUAAGGUCCACAAACCCCAGAUGUGGCAGGAUCAGCACCAAACUUGACAGCUGCACUUCACAGUGGUAUUGAACCCAAGGAAUCAAUGGUCAAUAAUCUGAAGCACUUCACCCGAAACACAGGGAAGAUAAGAAAAGCUGGAGCUUCUGAUUGAAGUCAGGGGCCCUGGAAAAGUGUUACCUCAAAAUUUGGAGCCUCCAGGAGCAAGUUGAAGAUCACCACAUAGUUAGAACACGUAAAUAUAUAAAGAAGAAAUUCCUUUGAGGGAAGAUUUUCAGAGUUCACAUUGCAAUUGCAGGAAUCUUGCCCAUGGAUCACAGAUGUUUGGAAAUCAGCCACAUACUGUCCUUUCAGCAUGGCACAAUGACCUCCAAAAAUCAGCCUGUCUAUAUUUCACUGGAUUUAUUGAAAAGUGAAAGAACUUACACUGAUACAAUGCUUUUAGUGAUCUCAGAACAUUUAAAAGCACUCUCCAGCCAAUUAAGUACCUUUGAAGUUUACUGUUGUAAUAAAAGAAACUCCUGAAAAACAAAGGUUGGUAGCUUUGUUUUCAGCUGUCGAGGUCCUCAGCUUUCAAAUUCCAUCUUUAAACCUCCCUGCCGCCCUACCUGCCUUCUUUUCUUCAUUUAGGAUGCUCCUUAAAACUUUACCUUUUUUGACAAAACUUUUAGCCAUCACCUUACGGGGCUCAGUGACAAAUUCUGCUUUCUUACAGCUUCCAUGAAUUGCCUUGAGACUGUUUGUUACAUUAAAGGCACUAUACCAAUCCAAGUUGUCAUUGUUGCUUGUGGAGUGGAGUGACUGCCUGUUGUAGAGCCCAUCUGAUCAUUAUCCUGUUUGUUUGUUUCUGUCAAGCAGAUUUUACAAUUGACAGGCAAUGGGGCUUGGUCCAUUUUCUGGGAAGGGUAUUCAGUUUGUUCAAAAUAAUCCCAUGGAGGCAACAUUCCUUAGAUCACUUGACACAACACAGAAACAAUGGAUAACCUUCCAGAGCUGUCCAGAUUCACUAUCUGACCAGUCAUUAAGCAGUAAAUUGGGGUAUGCUUUGUGUAUGUUCACUGGGAUAUUGCAGCUUAUAGUAGCAAAGUUACUGAUAGCCUAGCACCACAUGCCCAACACUUGAACUU